GGGGUUGUGGCUCAGUGGUAGAGUGGCUCACCUAGCAUGUGUGAGGCCCUGGGUUUGAUCCUCAGCACCACA
rnacentral:tRNA from 1 species